UCGAGGAUCUUCGGCAAUGGGCGCAAGCCUGACCGAGCGACGCCGCGUGUGCGAUGAAGGCCUUCGGGUUGUAAAGCACUGUCGAGGGGGAGGAAGCCGAAAGGUUGACCUAUCCCUGGAGGAAGCACGGGCUAAGUUCGUGCCAGCAGCCGCGGUAAGACGAACCGUGCGAACGUUGUUCGGAAUCACUGGGCUUAAAGGGCGCGUAGGCGGGUGGGCAAGUCUGCGGUGAAAUCCUCCAGCUUAACUGGAGAAGUGCCGUGGAUACUGCUUACCUUGAGGAGGGUAGGGGCAUCUGGAACGUUGGGUGGAGCGGUGAAAUGCGUUGAUAUCCAACGGAACUCCGAUGGCGAAGGCAAGGUGCUGGACCCUUUCUGACGCUGAGGCGCGAAAGCCAGGGGAGCGAACGGGAUUAGAUACCCCCGUAGUCC
rnacentral:rRNA from 1 species